CCCUUAGAUGUCCUGGGCCGCACGCGCGUUACACUGAUGCAUUCAACGAGCUUAUAACCUUGGCCGAGAGGCCUGGGCAAUCUUGUUAACGUGCAUCGUGAUAGGGAUAGAUUAUUGAAAUUAUUAAUCUUGAACGAGGAAUUCCUAGUAAACGCAGAUCAUCAAUCUGCAUUGAUUACGUCCCUGCCCUUUGUACACACCGCCCGUCGCACCUACCGAUUGGAUGGUCCGGUGAAUAAUUCGGACUGCAGCAAUGUUUGGAUCCCGAACGUUGCAGCGGAAAGUUUAGUGAACCUUAUCACUUAGAGGAAGGAGAAGUCGUAACA
rnacentral:rRNA from 1 species